rnacentral:rRNA from 1 species
GAGGCAACGGCGCACCAAGGCAACGAGGGCGAGGGGGGCAGAGAGGACGACCCCCCACACGGGNACAGAGACACGGACCAGACGCCNACGGGAGGCAGCAGGAGGGAAAACCGGACAAGGGAGGCAACCCAGAACCAGCCAGGCCGCGGGCAGGACNAAGGCCCAACGGGACGAAAACAGCGAACGAAGGGGAAGAAACGGACCNACGCGGAGAGAGAGGACGGCACCANAAGAANAAGGAACGGCNAACNNCGCGCCAGCAGCCGCGGCAANACGAAGGACCCAAGCGCCGACCGGAACNACGGGGCCAAAAGGGGGCGNAGGCGGACCCANAAGCCAGAGGGGAAAGCCCNCAGCANAACGGAAGAACGGCCAAAGAAACGGAGAGNCNCAGAGACGCGCGAGGGCANCGGAAAGCAACAGGNAGCGGNGAAACGCAGAGANANGCCACAGAACACCAACCGCGAAGGCAGACGACCAAACCGAAACCGACGCCGAGGCACGAAAGC